rnacentral:rRNA from 1 species
UACGUAGGUUGCAAGCGUUGUCCGGAUUUACUGGGCGUAAAGCGCGCGCAGGCGGUCCUGAAAGUCGAAUGUGAAAGCUCCCGGCCCAACUGGGAGAGGCCGUUCGAAACUUCAGGACUUGAAGGUGGGAGGGGCAGAUGGAAUUUCCGGUGUAGCGGUAAAAUGCGUAGAUACCGGAAGGAACACCAGUGGCGAAAGCGAUCUGCUGGCCCGCCCUUGACGCUCAGGCGCGAAAGCUAGGGGAGCGACCGGG